rnacentral:rRNA from 1 species
UAAGGAAUAUUGGACAAUGGAGGCAACUCUGAUCCAGCCAUGCCGUGUGAAGGAAUAAGGCCCUAUGGGUUGUAAACUUCUUUUAGACGGGACAAAACCCCUUUACGUGUAAAGGGUUGAUGGUACUGUCAGAAUAAGCAUCGGCUAACUUCGUGCCAGCAGCCGCGGUAAUACGAAGGAUGCAAGCGUUAUCCGGAAUUAUUGGGUUUAAAGGGUGCGUAGGCGGACUAAUAAGUCAGUGGUGAAAGCCUGCAGCUUAACUGCAGAAUUGCCAUUGAUACUGUUAGUCUUGAGUACAGUUGAGGUGGGCGGAAUGUGUCAUGUAGCGGUGAAAUGCUUAGAUAUGACACAGAACACCGAUUGCGAAGGCAGCUUGCUAAGCUGUAACUGACGCUGAGGCACGAAAGCGUGGGGAGCAAACA